AUUGAACGCUGGCGGCAGGCCUAACACAUGCAAGUCGGGCGGAGCGGCGGACGGGUGAGUAAUGCCUAGGAAUCUGCCUGGUAGUGGGGGAUAACGUCCGGAAACGGGCGCUAAUACCGCAUACUAUCAGAUGAGCCUAGGUCGGAUUAGCUAGUUGGUGGGGUAAAGGCCUACCAAGGCGACGAUCCGUAACUGGUCUGAGAGGAUGAUCAGUCACACUGGAACUGAGACACGGUCCUGACUCCGACGGGAGGCAGCAGUAGGGAAUAGUGCACAAUGGGCGCAAGCCUGAUGAAGCCAUGCCGCGUGUAUGAAGAAGGCAUUCGGGUUGUAAAGUACUUUCAGUCGGGAGGCGUUACCGACAGAGGAGGCACCGGCUAACUCCGUGCCAGCGGCCACGAUAAUAC
rnacentral:rRNA from 1 species